GACGAACGCUGGCGGCGUGCCUAAUACAUGCAAGUCGAGCGAAUCUUCGGGAGCUUGCUCCCAAAGAUUAGCGGCGGACGGGUGAGUAACACGUGGGCAACCUGCCUAUAAGACUGGGAUAACUUCGGGAAACCGGAGCUAAUACCGGAUAAUUCCUUUCCUCUCAUGAGGGAAGGCUGAAAGACGGCUUACGCUGUCACUUAUAGAUGGGCCCGCGGCGCAUUAGCUAGUUGGUGAGGUAACGGCUCACCAAGGCGACGAUGCGUAGCCGACCUGAGAGGGUGAUCGGCCACACUGGGACUGAGACACGGCCCAGACUCCUACGGGAGGCAGCAGUAGGGAAUCUUCCGCAAUGGACGAAAGUCUGACGGAGCAACGCCGCGUGAGUGAUGAAGGUUUUCGGAUCGUAAAACUCUGUUGUUAGGGAAGAACAGGUACGAGAGUAACUGCUCGUACCUUGACGGUACCUAACCAGAAAGCCACGGCUAACUACGUGCCAGCAGCCGCGGUAAUAC
rnacentral:rRNA from 1 species